CUUGUGACUGGGCUUUAGCAGGGAACACUUCGGGUAGAUGGUCUCCUUUAAACACGGCUUCAGUGAACAAGUAGGGUCUUGACCAGUAGAGACAGAGAGGCAGGAUGUUCUGGGGAGCAGGGCAGCAAGAGCAAGGCUGCCGAGACAGGAGACUGGACGGGACAUUUGGGAAGAGUGAGCUCUGGGCAGCGUUAGCGGGUGGGUUCCGCUUGGAGAAAUGCCAACCUUGAGCCUGAAAAAUCUAGUCUGAACUUGGACGGUGGGGGGCCUGGGACAUCAGGCUUCCUGAAGUAAGAGGCAAUCUUGAAAGAAGAACAUCCAGAUUUCCACAAAGAUCUCUAUCCACCGUUGACUGCAGCUUUUUCAGAUGUUGCUGAUAAGGUGAUUACUGUUGAAGUUCAAGAUUUGCUACUGGAAAAUAAAUUCCAACGCCCAUCCAUCACAGAGGACCCAGGAGGGAAAGCAGCAACAGAAGAAAGCUCCAAAGAACCAUCACUGAUUAGUGGGGAACAGACUAAUCUUCCAUAGCUGUAAAGUCAUCGUAACAAUAGCACCCUCAGCCACCUGCCUGGGUUGUAGUGAAGAUCGCCUAAGAGAAUGGCUACAGGAGUCCUUCAUGAACUCACCCCUUGGACAAACGCCCACAGGGAUGAAAAUGGCCAUCAGGUGUAGCAGGCAGAGCACACACUCUGGAGUUCGGGGGCCUGGGUGGGACCCCAGCAUGCCAGCUGCUGAACCUGGCUCAGGUAUUUACUCCUCCAAACCUGUUUGCUCAUGUCACCACAGAGCCUGCAAUGGUGGAUGGCUGCCCGGCCGAGGAAGGGGGCAGCGAUGCCUUCAUCGUAAGGCAGAAGAUUGAACAAAAUUGUGCCCAGCCCGUGAUUUCUAAAUCCCAGGAAUCUGUGAGCACCUUCAUAACAUUUGUCACAUCAGCCCUUUAAAUGUUUUCAUUUACAUUUCUACUUUAGCCAUGGCUAAAUGAC